GAUGAAGAACGUAGCGAAAUGCGAUAAGUAAUGUGAAUUGCAGAAUUCAGUGAAUCAUUGAAUCUUUGAACGCACAUUGCGCCCCUUGGUAUUCCGAGGGGCAUGCCUGUUCGAGCGUCAUUAUAACCCCUCAAGCUCAGCUUGGUGUUGGGGCCUGCUGCACUGGCAGCCCUUAAAAUCAGUGGCGGCGCCAUCUGGCUCUAAGCGUAGUAAUUCUUCUCGCUAUGGAGUCCUGGUGGAUGCUUGCCAUCAACCCCCAAUUUUUCUAUGGUUGACCUCGGAUCAGGUAGGGAUACCCGCUGAACUUAAGCAUAUCAAUAAGCGGAGGA
rnacentral:misc_RNA from 1 species